rnacentral:rRNA from 1 species
GUUGCCAGCGGUUAGGCCGGGAACGUCAAAGGAGACUGCCAGUGAUAAACUGGAGGAAGGUGGGGAUGACGUCAAGUCAUCAUGGCCCUUACGACCAGGGCUACACACGUGCUACAAUGGCAUAUACAAAGAGAAGCGACCUCGCGAGAGCAAGCGGACCUCAUAAAGUAUGUCGUAGUCCGGAUUGGAGUCUGCAACUCGACUCCAUGAAGUCGGAAUCGCUAGUAAUCGUGGAUCAGAAUGCCACGGUGAAUACGUUCCCGGGCCUU